AACGAACGCUGGCGGCAUGUCUAACACAUGCAAGUCGAACGAGACCUUCGGGUCUAGUGGCGCACGGGUGCGUAACGCGUGGGAACCUGCCCUUAGGUUCGGAAUAACUCCCCGAAAGGGGUUCUAAUACCGGUUAAUGUCUUCGGACCAAAGAUUUAUCGCCUUUGGAUGGGCCCGCGUUGGCUUAGCUAGUUGGUAGGGUAAAAGCCUACCAAGGCGACGAUCCAUAGCUGGUCUGAGAGGAUGAUCAGCCACACUGGGACUGAGACACGGCCCAGACUCCUACGGGAGGCAGCAGUGGGGAAUAUUGGACAAUGGGCGAAAGCCUGAUCCAGCAAGGCCGCGUGAGUGAUGAAGGCCUUAGGGUUGUAAAGCUCUUUUACCCGGGAUGAUAAUGACAGUACCGGGAGAAUAAGCUCCGGCUAACCCCGUG
rnacentral:rRNA from 1 species